CGCGAACCAUCGAGUCUUUGAACGCAAGUUGCGCCCGAGGCCACCCGGCUGACGGCACGCCUGCC
rnacentral:rRNA from 1 species